rnacentral:rRNA from 1 species
GACGAACGCUGGCGGCGUGCCUAAUACAUGCAAGUCGAACGCUUCUUUCCUCCCGAGUGCUUGCACUCAAUUGGAAAGAGGAGUGGCGGACGGGUGAGUAACACGUGGGUAACCUACCCAUCAGAGGGGAUAACACUUGGAAACAGGUGCUAAUACCGCAUAACAGUUUAUGCCGCAUGGCAUAAGAGUGAAAGGCGCUUUCGGGUGUCGCUGAUGGAUGGACCCGCGGUGCAUUAGCUAGUUGGUGAGGUAACGGCUCACCAAGGCCACGAUGCAUAGCCGACCUGAGAGGGUGAUCGGCCACACUGGGACUGAGACACGGCCCAGACUCCUACGGGAGGCAGCAGUAGGGAAUCUUCGGCAAUGGACGAAAGUCUGACCGAGCAACGCCGCGUGAGUGAAGAAGGUUUUCGGAUCGUAAAACUCUGUUGUUAGAGAAGAACAAGGACGUUAGUAACUGAACGUCCCCUGACGGUAUCUAACCAGAAAGCCACGGCUAACUACGUG